rnacentral:rRNA from 1 species
GUCACUGCUAUCGGGUUCGAUUAAGCCAUGCGAGUCGAGAGGUUCGGCCCUCGGCGCACUGCUCAGUAACACGUGGAUAACCUGCCCUGAGGUAGGAAUAACCCCGGAAACUGGGAAUAAUACCCUAUAGUUUCAGAAGCUGGAAUGCUCUGAAACCCAAAGCUCCGGCGCCUCAGGAUGAGUCUGCGGACUAUCAGGUGUAGUCAGGAUAAAGACCUGACUAGCCUAUGACGGAUACGGGUUGUGAGAGCAAUAACCCGGAGACGAUAUCUGAGACACGAUAUCGGGCCCUACGGGGCGCAGCAGGCGCGAAAACUUCACACUGUGCGAAAGCGCGAUGAGGGAAUCCCAAGUGCUUACUCGUAAGAGUAAGCUGUUUCUUUGUCUAAAAAGCAGAGAGAGUAAGGGCUGGGUAAGACGGGUGCCAGCCGCCGCGGUAAUACCUGCAGCUCAAGUGGUGAUCAUUAUUAUUGGGCCUAAAACGUCCGUAGCCGGUUUAGUAAAUGCCUGGGUAAAUCGUGUAGCUUAACUAUACGAAUUCCGGGUAGACUGCUAAACUUGAGACCGGGAGAGGCUAGAGGUACUCCUGGGGUAGAGGUGAAAUUCUGUAAUCCUAGGGGGACCACCAGUGGCGAAGGCGUCUAGCUAGAACGGGUCUGACGGUGAGGGACGAAGCCCUGGGGCGCAAACCGGAUUAGAUACCCGGGUAGUCCAGGGUGUAAACGCUGCUUGCUUGAUGUUAGUUGGGCUCCGAGCCCAACUAGUGUCGGAGAGAAGUUGUUAAGCAAGCUGCCUGGGAAGUACGGUCGCAAGGCUGAAACUUAAAGGAAUUGGCGGGGGAGCACAGCAACGGGUGGAGCGUGCGGUUU